rnacentral:rRNA from 1 species
GACGGGGGGGGCAAGUGUUCUUCGGAAUGACUGGGCGUAAAGGGCACGUAGGCGGUGAAUCGGGUUGAAAGUGAAAGUCGCCAAAAAGUGGCGGAAUGCUCUCGAAACCAAUUCACUUGAGUGAGACAGAGGAGAGUGGAAUUUCGUGUGUAGGGGUGAAAUGCGCAGAUAUCAGGAGGAACACCGGUGGCGAAGGCGGGUCUCUGGGUAGUAACUGACGCUGAGGAACGAAAGCGUGGGUAGCAAACAGG